UUCUCUAUUGCUGCAAAGUCUCAGUGUGGACAUCUGGUGUUAUUGCGCCAGGCUGUUUCUCUUGGAGGUGGUGCAGGAGGUUGAGGAAAGCACCUCUGAUGAGCAGAUAGCUGGAGGCUGUUCCCACAGUCAUGUCUCAGCGAAGAAGUCGGAGUCCAGCAGCCAUCAGAACCAAGGUAUGUGUGGUGAUCUUCGGAAUGCCACUCCAAAUCCUUUGCACUUUCUUUUGCACACAGCAGGAGUUGUAAAAGAAUGCUUCCUUUUAUUAUUAACACUGAGAAUCCAUGCAGAGAGUUUACACUAAACACAUGAAUAAAUUGUGUUUUAGAAGGCUGGGUGCCCUCAGUCCCCAGAUCUUUGAAUUCUACCAUUAAGUUCAGGUAGGUUUUUGGAGACAGAGAUUGGCUGCAUCAUAUCUGUGACACUGACUCUUCUGGUGUAGGUUUGCUUGGCCAGGGAGUCUGAGUGCAGCCCCUGAUCAGUGCUUCAUGCCAAUCUGUGAGUCUGUUCCAGGAACUAGAGGAGAGAGAGCCUUAGCCUUGCCUGCAACCAGAUGAAUGGUUAGCUUUAGUGGUGAACACUUUGCUUUUUGAAUAGUGUGGCUGGCUGGCAGCUCUUGUCAUUGUUUAUCUCUCAAUUUAACAAACCAAGCUGAAGCCUGAGCACAGCUACAACCUUGUCC
rnacentral:lncRNA from 1 species